rnacentral:tRNA from 1 species
GUCGGCGUAGUUCAGACGGAUAGAACACGGGGGCGACUUCGGCAUUAGCUAGCGAUGCUGGAAUCCCCGAGGAGCCGGGUUCGAGUCCCGGGGUCGAUU